AAAUUAAUCAAAUAUAAAUACAUCCUACAGAUCAUAUCUAGGUAGAAUACUCACACAUUAUUCUACUUCCUACUAUAUUAAAAAAUUAAAUAGGGUCCCAACAUAAUAGUGGUUUGUUUGGAAUAAUUUCCAUGAGAAGAAUUUUCUAGAACAUUGUUCCUUUCCAAACCAUACUUUUUUAAAAAAAAAUCUGUUUGAUAACCUUAUAGUUUAAAAAUUGUUAUUAGUUAUGAAUAAUGCAUUGUUUCCAAUGUUGGAGAAUUGGUACAGAAAUUCCGUCCUGAAAUUAAGAGUAUGCAAGUGCACCAACUGCUUCUAAAGUUAUUAAUGGGUUCCUAUGAAAUGCUUCCUUACUUGCUCUUAACAGCUAUUUAGCACAUAUAUAACACAACAGCUAUAUAUAUAUACACACACACACUCUUCUAAUGCCUGCGAUUGUUUAUUAUAAUUAAUAUUCUACUCAGGCAUUUGCCUAUUCCAUAUUUGAUAAGAUAGACUGCAAUAGUCUAGCAAUUCAAUGUCUAUUACCUGCCUUCAAACUUCACUAGAUUUCACUAACUGCUUGGUUCCAUUCUUUUAAAAGGAUUUUAGUCCUAGAAAUGGAAAUUCUAUAAUUAAGAAUCUAUAAUAGAGUGACAAUGAAUUUUCCUUAGACCACAAUAGGCCUUUAAGAUAAAAUAAAUUAGUAAUAAAUGAAGUUGGCCAGUGUGAGCACAAAAACAUGGGGGGGGGGUAAGUUUGUUAAGCCUGCCUGGGAGAAUGUUUGGCAGAAUUCUGAUUAAAAGAAUAUGACAGUGACAGUGAGCAAGUUAUGAGAAGUGCAGUAUAAAAUGGAGGUAUCUCACUUCCAUACAACAGUUUGUUUCUGCCCAACCACAGAACCAACAGCAAAUGGGUACUGAAUCAAUGUGGACUGAACUAUAAAAGUGAGUGAUUGGUAAAAAGGAAGCUGAAGUGUUUUGUCACAGACAGAAAAUGAACAAGGAUUAAAUUGUAAAACAAAUACAUGAAGGAAGAGUAAAGCAGUCAAGAGGAAGGAAGAGCAAGACCAAAAAGUAAGGAUCAGAUGGGAGUCUAUGAGAUCUUGAACAAGAGAGGAAUGGAAAGUUUAAAGAACAGGCAAUGUAUGAUGCAGUGCAUAAACACAGCAGAAACAAGGAAAGUUUGCAACAAGAAGCAUAAAAUGCCUCUGGACAUUAAUACAUUAUAGAAGUAGCUAUUUUCCAAUUAUGCAGAUGGAUGAUGAUACAAAUUAAUCGACAGAGGACAAUGUACCUAAGGAAAAGGAGAAAGCUUUUUUCUGCAAAACCUGAAAACCAACAUUCAAACUGAAGAUGAAGGAAGGUCCUUUCUCCAUUUACAAGGUUAUAUUCUAGCAGGCUGAAGAGGUACAAAACAACUGAACUGAAGAGCUAUCAAUUCUGCAAUUGGAAAAAUAAUUUUUGUUGUACAAAAAAGAAUAAUUACACUAAAGUGGGGAGGGAAUACUUCAAGCAGGGGGAUGGCUAGCCCCGUAGUGGCCAGCUCUCCACAGCAUGAUUUUCCA